CAUGAAGAAAGACGUGCGGAUCCUGCUGGUAGGAGAACCUAGAGUUGGGAAGACGUCACUGAUUAUGUCUGGUCAGUGAAGAAUUUCCAGAAGAGGUUCCUCCCCGGGCAGAAGAAAUCACCAUUCCAGCUGAUGUCACCCCAGAGAGAGUUCCAACACACAUUAUAGAUUACUCAGAAGCAGAACAGAGUGAUGAACAACUUCAUCAAGAAAUAUCUCAGGCUAAUGUCGUCUGUAUAGUGUAUGCCGUUAACAACAAGCAUUCUAUUGAUAAGGUAACAAGUCGAUGGAUUCCUCUCAUAAAUGAAAGAACAGACAAAGACAGCAGGCU
rnacentral:lncRNA from 1 species